UCCCAGCUACUCGGGAGGCUGAGGCAGGAGAAUGGCGUGAACCCGGGAGGUGGGGGCUGCAGCAAGCCGAGAUCGCGCCACUGCACUCCAGCCUGGGCGACAGAGUGGGGCCCUGUCUGAAACAAAAUAAAAGUAUAUUAUAGAUGCCGUUUUUACCUUGACUCACUGACAUCCAGUUUCAGAGCCAGCAAAGCUGAGGCCCAACUCUGCU
rnacentral:lncRNA from 1 species